GCAUUAUUUAUACAAGUGAAUGUAAGUAAACAAAUAUAUAAACCUGUCCCAUAACAGCACCAGAAAGAAUCAAACUUUGUUCCCCAUUGAUGAUAUCCUGUAGCUUUCGACAUGCCCGGGCCUAACGGCAACAUGUAUAUCAUAAUCCCGGGUUCUUUCCCUCUUUGGAUACUCAAGACACCGUUAGUCAAAGCGCGUUCGUAAUAAUCCGCAUACGCGAUCUCUUUGGUCCAUCUAAACAAGUUCCUAGAAACCUAAAACAUAAAUGUAAGAUCUAUCAUUAUAUUUGACAUGAUGAAAACAUUAGAUGACUAACUGGUGUAUGAACAGUUAAGGCGUACCUUUAACAUGUUAUAGGUGGUACAUGAUUCUUCGUUUUCGGUCUGCAAGGUAGUCGCUAGUUGUUUUGGUUCCGACCUAAGAAAAGCAACUACCAAUUUGUUACACAAAAGUCAAACUUUCGCCCUUAACGGGUGUCGAUUAGGGGUGCAAACGAGCCAAGCGGCUCGCGAGCUACUCGACAUCGGCUCGAGAAAAAGCUCGAAACAAGCCGAGCCUUAUCGAGCCCGAGUUAAGUCUGGCAUGUGAAACUCGUCAGACUCGCUCGCUGAGCCUAUUGAGCCUUAUUGUAAUAUUAGUUUUUAUUGAUAUUAAAUAACAUUUACCCCUUAUUUAAAGUUGUCUAGUAAACGAGCCGGAAGACAAGGGGGUACAUGCACUAAUUUUAGCGUUAUUUUACUAAUUUCGUGAAAAUAACGUUAAAAGCGGGGGACGGUUAAUCAUGCAUCAUGUGGUGGCGUUAUAAGUUAUAACACACAUAAAUCAAUGCAAGUACAUACAUCUAAACAACCAUGAUGUAUUAUUGUACUAGCCAUGUUAAAAUCUUAAAUGAAAUGAAGGACACAAACCUACGAAAUGACCACGAAGCUCUUGAUCCGAGGACUCCCACCCGCCAUACGCGGUACCAACCGUCGGCAGCCCAGCCGUGUUCCUAAAGCUCCAAACCAAACUAUCAACAUCCAACAUCAACAAGUAAUCCAAAUUGGUGUGUUGAGCUUGACCAUGAGUUGACUCAGGGUCCAAUCUCACAUCACCCAAAGCAACCUCACUCAAAAAACUCCCACUAACCUUACCCCUCCCCACUUGAUUCUUCAUUUGCCUAUACAUCAUCAUCCACCCAACUUCAUCCUCCUUCAACACCUUUCUUGGCAACAAACUGGCCCAAGCAGCAUCAUCAGUAGGAGUCAAAUGAUUGUCAUGAGAAUGGUUUUUGUUGUGUGAAUUAAGGUAAUCGUAACGAAACGUAUGCGACGAAAGCUCUGUUGGAAUGUUGGUGCAUUCUUUACCAACAACAACACCACCACCACAGAUCAAACCCAGAAUCACAAAUGCUUGAAAUGUCAUCAACAUGAUCAAACUCAUAAAUAAUAAUUGUUAAACGUAAUUAUUGUUAUUCAGAGUUGACGGGAUGAAGGAAUAAUGGCUUUUAAGUUAACAAAAAAAGGGAUUGUGGAAGAAGAUUAUAUGAGUAAAAACAGGGGAUAUUCACGUUAUCUAAAGAUUUUGAUAUGGGAGUGUGAAAAAAAAAAAAAAAAAAAAAACAGAUAUGAAGACAAAGGAAAUGAAAGGUGUAGGUGAUUUUGAUGAAGAAGUUGUGAUGAAUUUGUAUGUC
rnacentral:lncRNA from 1 species